UAUUCACACAUAAAUCACUCUUCCCCUCAAUCCCUCAUUCAUUUGGUAACAAAGGCAGAAGCAGAGAGUGAGAGAGCUUGAGAGAGAGACACAUAGAGAACAAGCAACGCAAGAUGAGGGAGGAGAAGGAGACGCUUUCGCACGACGCUGCAUCUCACUGCCAUUGCUGAAGCUCCCAUCACCACCGUUGCCUCCGAUUAGGGCAGAAAGGAAGAAGAAGAACGAUGAAGGGGAGAGAUUGAUGGAGAGGAGGGUGACGGCCGUUUUUGAUGCCGCCGAUUCUAAAUCUGCCCAGGACCAUCAUCAUCGCCUGUAUCACAAACCAGGGAGGAAGGGGGCUGCCUCUCCUGUUGCUGCUGCUAUCUCAGUUGAAAUUGCUGCGGUUUUAGUAGUGGUCCAACCAAUCAUCACGCUAUAAUUCUGCCUCCAGCCCCUCUUAAUUUUGACUAAGGUAGGGGAUUUUUUUUAAAAGCAGAGGUUUCCAAUUAUGAGUACCAAUAAAAUUAAAUGAGUAACUGGAAAUGGUUUAUGAAUGCUUUGUAUGACUAAUUGAUGAAGUUGGGAAUUGUUGGUGAUAGUGAGUAUAUAUGAAUAUGAUGAAAAUUGAUUUUUGGGUUGUUUGGUGGUGCUAUAAAAGAUAUGAUAGAUAGGAUAUUAAGUUUGUUGCUGUAUGUGCUUGUGAUAAAUGAUGGUUCAUUAUGGAUUGAUGAAUUAUUGUGUGCUCGAAUGAUGAUGAUCGAUGAUUUACUAUGUGUAUGNNN
rnacentral:lncRNA from 1 species